UCCAUGGUGGUCCAGUGGUUAGGACUUUGCUCUUUCAUUGCCGAGGUCACAGGUUUGAUCCCUGGCUGGGGAA
rnacentral:tRNA from 1 species